UUUUGAAAGAAGCAGACAUCAAUCAGCCACUGAAGACAAGAAGAGGACGGUCCUGGGGCACUCAACUUCUUCUAAGGUGGAAGUUUGCUUCUAAGGAAAAAUACUGGAAGGAAUAAAAUGCAGCCAAGAGGGGUCGUCACUUUAACACACACCUGCUCUUUCCUCCCCAUCAGCAGGUGCCCAACAAGAUUGUUGACGAUGUCUGUGUCUACACCAGCAUUUCUCGAUCACCAGUCCCGGCCUUGGAAGCAACAUAUUCCUGCCUUAGGUUUAUUUCUCUCCCUUCUCUGCUUCUGGAUCGUCUCUCCCAUCUCCUCCUCCACCACUUACCACCUGCUAUCAGAAUCAGGGUGGAAAACGUGGGCACAUGACCAUGAGUUUUUAGUAUAGUUUUAACAAAAACACAAAAUUCCACAUAAUGCCAUAACUAAAUUAGGUGGCUUCUCUUUAAAAAAAAAAACAAAAAAACAAACAAACAAACAAAAAAAAAAAACAGAAACACAACCUAAAACUAUUGUGUAGACCAGAACACAUAUCAUUUGGUGAUUGAAUUUUUCUGUUUGUUUUUUCUACCAGUCAUGCAAUGUACACUUAAUACAACUCUGAGACUCUUUGAGUACAAACUAGCAAGAAUUGAAACAUUUUACAGACUAACAAUUCCAUUUAAAUCCUUGUUUUUACCUGAGUGGGUAAAGAGAUAGGAUAGCUGAAGAGUACCAAGUAAAGGGGUGGGGUAGGUCAUCGCCAGUGGGGUAUCAUAUCAUUGUUCAGUCGACAUGGCCUUAGCCACACUUCCUGAUUCACUGGGAAGUGUUCCUUGUGCAUCAUUUUUGCUCUUGGCCAGCUUACCCCCACUCUCCACCGCUGCUGCGGCCAUGCCCACAGAUGCCCCAUCAACCGAGUGGCCCCUCUUCCCGUCCCAGGGAAUUAAUGGGCUCCCGGCACUUAUUAGAAGAGGUAGCAGAUCUGGAAAAGGAAAUCAAAACGCAGUAGAGAAGGCAGAACACAGUUUGGGGAGUCUCUGGCAAAUCUGAGUUCAGGUCUGAACUUUAAUACGUGCUGGCUGUGAGGCUUUGAGGAACUGAUUUCGUUUCCGGAGUUUACUUUAUCCGUAAAACAGUGCUUCUUUUCUUCACAAUCAGACAUUUAUCAGGUAUUUACUAAGUGCCAGGCACUGUUCUAGUGCCCACUUCCAGGGAAGGGGGGGUUAGGGGCUGGGGGUUAAUGGCGUGGGUACAAAGAUUUUAAAAUAGGUCAGAAAAGGAUUCACUGAGAAGGGGACAUCUGAGGUGAACACUUGAAGGAAGUGAGACAGUGAGCCAUGAGGGUAUCUGGGGUGGGGAGAACGUUCCAAAUAAAGAAAUCGCUAGUUCAAAGGCCCUAAGGCAGGAGGGAUCCUGGUGCACUGGAAGAACAGCAAGGAGACCAGUAGGGCUGGAGCAGGUGAGCAGAGCAGACAAUAGCAGCAGAUGGGGGCAGAGGGGAACAAGAGGGAGCUAAGCUGUGUUCAGCCUCGUAGGCCGUGGGGAGAACUUAGGUAUUUUUUUUUUAAUGUUUAUUUACUUUUUGAGAGAGUGACAGAGACAGAGUGGGGGCCAGGGAGGGGCAACGCAGGCUCCAGGCUCUGAGCUGUCAGCACAGAGCCCGAUGAGGGGCUCGAACCCACGAACUGCAAGAUCACGACCUGAGCCGAAGUCAGACGCUUAGCUGACUGAGCCACCCAGGCGCCCCUGGGUUUUUACUUUAGAGAGGAUGGGAAGUCACUAGAGGGUUGUCAGCCUAGGACUUGUGUUUUGGAAGAGUCGUUCGGGCUGCUGCGUUGAGAACAGAAUGUAGGUGGGCAAGGCCAGGAAGCAGGGACAUGGGUUAGGAGGAAGAGACGAUGGUUUGAACCAGGGUAUGGCUGUGGACGUGGGGUGGAGGAUGGUUCGAUUCUGGACAUUUCUUGAAAGUGGCAUUAACAGGGUUUGCUGAUGAACUGGAUUGAGUGUGAGAAAAAGAGAAGAGUCAAGGAGGCCUGUGAGGUUUUUGGUCUGAGAAAUUAGAAGAGUUGUGUGGCCAUUAGCUGAGAUAGUUGCGGCUGGGGGAGGAACAGGUUCGGGAUGGGAGGAGGAAAUGGAGAAUUUAGUGGUAAUACUAGUAUCUGCCCUGCCUCUCUCAUGGAUUAAAUGUGAUGACUUACGUGUGAUUUACCCUCCCAAUCUGCCUACUGCUGCUAGUAUUCAAGUGCUCUUUCCCUUCCUAUUCAGAAGUGGUCUGUUCCAUGGGUAGUCCCCUCUCUUUCAUGCUCAAGUGGCUCUAGUCGGUGGUGGGCGAGGGGUUCCUAGCACAUGGACUCUUGGAUCUGACAGGUAUUAUCGGAGUAUAUUUAGAUGGAUAUUUUAGGAUAGGUCCUCCAACCGUGACUCAAGUAUGACUUAACAGUUAAUACUUUUAUUUCUCCCUAGCAGAAUAUUGUUUCUAAUUUUUCUUUCAUAUAGCAACUGAUGUUGCCAUGCAGAUCUCUUGGUUGCUAUGAGAUGGUAACAUUACUCUGCCCCGUGAUUGGCCGGGGCCUCCUAUGCUGUGUGGUUCUCACUCAGGCGACUGACACGGAGCUGUUACUAUGGUGAACUUUACAAUUUCCUUUGAUUGGUGGAUUUCAGAAAUAGGUCAUCAGUGGAAUUCAUUAUAUUCUGUCAGGAAAAAUGAAAAAUAAAUAUCAUAACUUUUCCCUGUUACCAACAUGAAGGAAACGCUACACUUAAAGACAUAAUGAAUCUCUGUUGGAGACGUAGAGACCUUCUGAGAAUUGAAGGGUGAUGAUGAUCCUGUGUGUUAAAUUUGGGUGGAAAAUAUUUUCCUUCUGGAUUGGAGUUGAUUAUUCAGAGUUCGAGGCAUCAGGCUCAUCAGAGUUGGGGGGGGCGGUUGUGUAUGGACUGAAAUGUAAACUGCCCUCUCUCUGUGAGAUUAGGGGUGAUGCUGGUGGUCUGGGGGUGGAAGGUGGGAGCAACGUGCUCAUUAAAUGCAGCAUCUUAGGACUAAGUGUUCUCGAGGUGUUAGGAGGGUGCUAAGAUUUGAGUUAUCAAACUCCCUCUAGAGAGGAAAGCCACUGACUUCUGGCUUGACACAGGGUUCCAAGAGUCCAGGCAAGCUUGUGGAAGCUGAGCCCUCCUCUCUCCCACCCCCUCCCCUGUCUCACACAGGUGGGUAGGCAGAUCCCGGGGAGGCAGCCCUCUGCUCAUCUCUAACCUCAAUUAAUGGGAAAAGGGAGUGGAAGAAUUAGUUUUAACCCUUCUAAUUUUGUAACCUAACUCUAGUCUCUAGAAGAAAAAGUGGGAGAAAGAUGGAAGAAGAACUUGGGAGGAGGGAUGAACCAUUUAAAGUGCAUCAGAUCUGGGGCACCUGGGUAGCUCAGUCAGUUAAGGGUCUGACUCUUGAUCUCAGCUCAGGUCAUGAUGUCAUGAUCCGUGAGACUGAGCCCCAAAUCGGCACUGCGCUGACACUGGGGAGCCUACUUGUGAUUCUGUCUCCCCCUCUCUCUGCCCCUCCCCCCUCUCUAAAUAAAUAA